rnacentral:rRNA from 1 species
GCCCAGAUCUAAGGAAUAGCCACUGGAAACGGUGAGUAAUACCUUAUACGCCCUUCGGGGAAAGAUUUAUCGGAUUUGGAUCGGCCCGCGUUAGAUUAGGUAGUUGGUGGGGUAACGGCCUACCAAGCCUACGAUCUAUAGCUGGUUUUAGAGGAUGAUCAGCAACACUGGGACUGAGACACGGCCCAGACUCCUACGGGAGGCAGCAGUGGGGAAUCUUAGACAAUGGGCGCAAGUGAUCUAGCCAUGCCGCGUGAGUGACGAAGGCCUUAGGGUCGUAAAGCUCUUUCGCCAGGGAUGAUAAUGACAGUACCUGGUAAAGAAACCCCGGCUAACUCCGUGCCAGCAGCCGCGGUAAUACGGAGGGGGUUAGCGUUGUUCGGAAUUACUGGGCGUAAAGCGCGCGUAGGGGAUUGGAAAGUUGGGGGUGAAAUCCCGGGGCUCAACCCCGAACUGCCUCCAAAACUAUCAGUCUAGAGUUCGAGAGAGGUGAGUGGAAUUCCAAGUGUAGAGGUGAAAUUCGUAGAUAUUUGGAGGAACACCAGUGGCGAAGGGGCUCACUGGCUCGAUACUGACGCUGAGGUGCGAAAGUGUGGGGAGCAAACAGGAUUAGAUACCCUGGUAGUCCACACCGUAAACGAUGAAUGCCAGACGUCGGGGGGCUUGCCUUCGGUGUCACACCUAACGGAUUAAGCAUUCCGCCUGGGGAGUACGGUCGCAAGAUUAAAACUCAAAGGAAUUGACGGGGGCCC